AGCGAACGCUGGCGGCAGGCUUAACACAUGCAAGUCGAGCGGGCACCUUCGGGUGUCAGCGGCAGACGGGUGAGUAACACGUGGGAACGUACCCUUCGGUUCGGAAUAACGCUGGGAAACUAGCGCUAAUACCGGAUACGCCCUUAUGGGGAAAGGUUUACUGCCGAAGGAUCGGCCCGCGUCUGAUUAGCUAGUUGGUGGGGUAACGGCCUACCAAGGCGACGAUCAGUAGCUGGUCUGAGAGGAUGAUCAGCCACACUGGGACUGAGACACGGCCCAGACUCCUACGGGAGGCAGCAGUGGGGAAUAUUGGACAAUGGGCGCAAGCCUGAUCCAGCCAUGCCGCGUGAGUGAUGAAGGCCUUAGGGUUGUAAAGCUCUUUUGUCCGGGACGAUAAUGACGGUACCGGAAGAAUAAGCCCCGGCUAACUGCGU
rnacentral:rRNA from 1 species